AGUUUGAUCCUGGCUCAGGAUGAACGCUAGCUACAGGCUUAACACAUGCAAGUCGAGGGGAAACGACAUCGAAAGCUUGCUUUUGAUGGGCGUCGACCGGCGCACGGGUGAGUAACGCGUAUCCAACCUGCCCACCACUUGGGGAUAACCUUGCGAAAGUAAGACUAAUACCCAAUGAUAUCUCUAGAAGACAUCUGAAAGGGAUUAAAGAUUUAUCGGUGAUGGAUGGGGAUGCGUCUGAUUAGCUUGUUGGCGGGGUAGCGGCCCACCAAGGCGACGAUCAGUAGGGGUUCUGAGAGGAAGGUCCCCCACAUUGGAACUGAGACACGGUCCAAACUCCUACGGGAGGCAGCAGUGAGGAAUAUUGGUCAAUGGACGAGAGUCUGAACCAGCCAAGUAGCGUGCAGGAUGACGGCCCUAUGGGUUGUAAACUGCUUUUAUAAGGGAAUAAAGUGAGUCUCGUGAGACUUUUUGCAUGUACCUUAUGAAUAAGGACCGGCUAAUUCCGUGCCAGCAGCCGCGGUAAUACGGAAGGUCCGGGCGUUAUCCGGAUUUAUUGGGUUUAAAGGGAGCGUAGGCCGGAGAUUAAGCGUGUUGUGAAAUGUAGACGCUCAACGUCUGCACUGCAGCGCGAACUGGUUUCCUUGAGUACGCACAAAGUGGGCGGAAUUCGUGGUGUAGCGGUGAAAUGCUUAGAUAUCACGAAGAACUCCGAUUGCGAAGGCAGCUCACUGGAGCGCAACUGACGCUGAAGCUCGAAAGUGCGGGUAUCGAACAGGAUUAGAUACCCUGGUAGUCCGCACGGUAAACGAUGGAUGCCCGCUGUUGGUCUGAAUAGGUCAGCGGCCAAGCGAAAGCAUUAAGCAUCCCACCUGGGGAGUACGCCGGCAACGGUGAAACUCAAAGGAAUUGACGGAAGG
rnacentral:rRNA from 1 species